rnacentral:misc_RNA from 1 species
AGGAACUGGAGGUGGUGCCUUGCUACAAACUUUGGUCAAAUCCUUGCAAAGGAAACUUUUUAAGGAAUCAAGAUCUGAUUUGCUUUUAUAUAAAUAUUCUGCCACAUCUGUAUCAGAAUAGUCCAUCACAUCUUGACAAGCACGCUCUAUUGUUUUGCAUUCUGAAUUACAUUGUCCUUCAGAGUCUUGUUCAACCAGCCCCAACCUAUCACCUUGUUCAACUAUGUCAAUUUUAAGAAUCCAAUCAGCUUCCUGCUUCUUUAAAUUGCAUACAUUCUCUGAAAUCUCUAUUAUCUGAUACUCUGAGAUCUUGUUUGGAGAGAUCUCAGCUUGUUUGUUGUGAACAUGAUGGUAUAGCUGAUACGCCAGCUUUUCACACACCUGACAUCUUAUAUAUGGAAUGUCUUCUUUUCUUGCCACUCCUCCUGCUUUCUUUGCGCAUUCAACAUCAAUCGAAAACCAUAUCGUUAUCACUAUCAAAGAUAACAACAAUGCAAUCGUAUCAAAUUUAUCCAUUAGUCAACAAAGAUUGAGAUUUCUCAAAUUUUG